GACGAACGCUGGCGGCGUGCCUAACACAUGCAAGUCGAGCGGAGACAGUAGCAAUAUUGUUUUAGCGGCGGACGGGUGAGUAACGCGUGGGCAACCUGCCUUGGACAGGGGGAUAACACAGGGAAACUUAUGCUAAUACCGCAUAAUAUCAUGGGAAGACAUCUUCUUAUGAUCAAAGGAGCAAUCCGGUCUAAGAUGGGCCCGCGUCCGAUUAGCUAGUUGGCGGUGUAAUAGACCACCAAGGCGACGAUCGGUAGCCGAACUGAGAGGUUGAUCGGCCACAUUGGGACUGAGACACGGCCCAGACUCCUACGGGAGGCAGCAGUGGGGAAUAUUGCGCAAUGGGGGAAACCCUGACGCAGCAACGCCGCGUGAAGGAUGAAGGUCUUCGGAUUGUAAACUUCUUUGAUGAGGGACGAAGCAAUGACGGUACCUCAAAAACAAGCCACGGCUAACUACGUGCCAGCAGCCGCGGUAAGAC
rnacentral:rRNA from 1 species